rnacentral:rRNA from 1 species
UACAGAGGGGGCAAGCGUUGUUCGGAAUUACUGGGCGUAAAGGGCGCGUAGGCGGCCUGCUAAGUCGAACGUGAAAUCCCCGGGCUCAACCCGGGAACUGCGUCCGAUACUGGCUGGCUUGAAUCCGGGAGAGGGAUGCGGAAUUCCAGGUGUAGCGGUGAAAUGCGCAGAUAUCGGGAAGAACACCCGUGGCGAAGGCGGCUCUCUGGGACGGUACUGACGCUGAGACGCGAAAGCGUGGGGAGCGAACAGG